UCUGCCUCCCAAGUGCUGGCAUUAAAGGCGUGCGCCACCACUGCCUAGCUAACUGUGUGUCUUCUUAGUAACAAAGGCCCUUUGCUUUGUUCUUUAACAUAGAAUUUGGUUUAAAAUUCUUUACUAUAAAUGUUUUGGGCUGGGGAUAUAAUUCUAUUGGUAGAAUUUUUCAUGGCAAAGUCCUGGAUUUGUUUUCUGGCACCACAUAAACUGGUUGUGGUGGCCCAUACUUGUAAUUCUGACACUCAGGAAGUGGGAGCAGAAGGAGCAGAGGUUCAGAGUCAUCUUCAGGAUAUAGGAAGCUUGAAGGUAGCCCGUAUGUCUCAAAAAUAAAACAAGGAAACUAACAAAAGACCCUAUUUUAUACAGUAAACUCGAGUGUUUUGCAAGCUAAUAUGCAUGUAUUAAAAACAACCUUCAUUUAAAAUUGUCACAAUCUCUGUGUUAUAGAUUGAAUGUCUGGUAUGAAGUUUCGAAGGAUAAUUGACAUUGUUCUCCCAGAUAUAUCCUUGUAAAGUUAUUUCUGUGAGAUAUUUAAGAUAGAAAUCAAUAGCUAAGGAAUGCAUGCCCUCAAGCAAAAAAUAAUUAAUGAGUUCUUAAAUUCUUUACUCUUCAAAGCUUUUUCUACCUCCAUUAUAUUACUGCUGCUAAUAGUUUACAAGUUAUAGCAGUCUUUGCUGGAAGUCCAUUGCCAGCAUUUGCUGAUCCCUACUGCUGUCCUAUAAACGUUGAUAUGUGUCAUUAGCUAAGUAACCUUUUUUUGAAGAACUAAUGAAAUAAUUUAUGAAGUACUAAGAAGUCUGUUGCCAUCUCAGUUAAAUUAAGUAAAUGUCAAGAAAUUAUGUAAUCCUAGACGAAUAAGAACAAAGAAAGCCAUUUUCAUAGGGAAAUUAACAGUUGAAAAGUCCAAACUAUAUGGAGGGUGGGGUGUCCCUGUGUAGUCACCGUGUGGCCGUGGCUGUUCUGGAACUCAGAGAUCAGCCUGCCUCUGCUUCCCAAAGGAAAGGUGGUUUCACCACACUCAGCCAAUGACUAAUCCUAACGUAGCACCCUAGGUAUUUUAGCUUCUAAUCUGUGUGUUGGAAUAGUAAAGUUUACAUUUACUUGUUCAUGGUGUGCAUGUGAGCCUGAGUAGAGGUUAGAGGACAACUUGCUAGAGUUGGUUUUCUGCUUCAACUGUGUUGUGCAGGGUCACGCUCAGAUCGUCAGGCUUGACAGCAAAUACUGUUACCCUCUGAACAACAGUGCGGUUUAGAAAGGUUCUAUAAUUGAUCUUUAAUCACAUAGAAAGGGAUUUGAGUCCAAGUAAAUCUGUAUAUGAAGUCCCUCAUAAGUUUCAGUCUAGCCAUUGGGCACCCAGUCCUGGAGAAAGUACUUAUCUAUGCUAUUGCCAGAUGGCUGCUUCUUAGCUUGGGUUUCUGUUGCUGCAAUAAAACACCAUGACC
rnacentral:lncRNA from 1 species